AUACCUACCUGGCGUCAGGAUACAGUGAUCAUGCAGGUGGCUCCCCCGGGGUGCGGCUGCUCCAUUGCACUGCGCAGUGGUUGACCCUUGCGAUUACUUUUAUAUUUUAUAAGUUCCACUUCUACCGUGUGUGACUUGCACACACACUUUUUUUUGUAAACUGUUAUUAUUAAUGUAAAGUCUU
rnacentral:snRNA from 9 species